rnacentral:rRNA from 1 species
GCAUAUCAAUAAGCGGAGGAAAAGAAACUAACAAGGAUUCCCCUAGUAACGGCGAGUGAAGCGGGAAGAGCUCAAAUUUGUAAUCUGGCACCUUCGGUGUCCGAGUUGUAAUCUCGAGAAGUGUUUUCCGCGCCGGACCGCAUACAAGUCUGUUGGAAUACAGCGUCAUAGUGGUGAGAACCCCGUAACUGAUGCGGAUGCCCGGUGCUUUGUGAUACACUUUCGAAGAGUCGAGUUGUUUGGGAAUGCAGCUCAAAUUGGGUGGUAAAUUCCAUCUAAAGCUAAAUAUUGGCGAGAGACCGAUAGCGAACAAGUACCGUGAGGGAAAGAUGAAAAGCACUUUGGAAAGAGAGUUAACAGUACGUGAAAUUGUUGGAAGGGAAACGCUUGAAGUCAGACUUGCUAUUUGGAAUUCAGCCGCAAGGUGUACUUUUCAAUUCGCAGGCCAGCAUCAGUUUUCGGGGGUGGAAAAGGGUAGAGAGAAGGUAGCAAUUUCGGUUGUGUUAUAGCUCUUUGCUGGAUUCAUCCUUGGGGACUGAGGAACGCAGCACGCUUUUUGCAAGGCUUUCGAGCUUUCGUGC